rnacentral:rRNA from 1 species
GACGAACGCUGGCGGCGUGCUUAACACAUGCAAGUCGAACGGUAAGGCCCUUCGGGGUACACGAGUGGCGAACGGGUGAGUAACACGUGGGUGAUCUGCCCUGCACUUCGGGAUAAGCCUGGGAAACUGGGUCUAAUACCGGAUAGGACCACUGCCCGCAUGGGUGGUGGUGGAAAGCUUUUGCGGUGUGGGAUGGGCCCGCGGCCUAUCAGCUUGGUUGUGGGGUGAUGGCCUACCAAGGCGACGACGGGUAGCCGGCCUGAGAGGGUGACCGGCCACACUGGGACUGAGAUACGGCCCAGACUCCUACGGGAGGCAGCAGUGGGGAAUAUUGCACAAUGGGCGCAAGCCUGAUGCAGCGACGCCGCGUGAGGGAUGACGGCCUUCGGGUUGUAAACCUCUUUCAGCACCGACGAAGCGCGAGUGACGGUAGGUGCAGAAGAAGGACCGGCCAACUACGUGCCAGCCGCCGCCGUAA